rnacentral:rRNA from 1 species
AUGUUUCACCACCUCGGUGUUCUCAUUUUGUUUCCAGAAGAAAAGAGGUGUAGGUAUUGCUUAUGUGAAUAUCUUCUCUUUAUUGAGCAAGAUUAUUUCAACCUAGAAUUGCAUCCUUUGCUUGAGUUUAGUCCGAGUGUUGUUCACACUUUGCCAUGGCCAUGGUCUUUGGACAUGAAUCAUUUGAAAGGUUUUUGCAAUCUAGUUGACAAAUGCAUGUCGACAAUUGUAGACUUCCGGUUAUAUGUUUCUCCAGAAUCUAUAUAUUUAUAUAUAGUUGAUGGAAAUAUCGGUACCCAUGGUGACUGGUCGCGAUUUUCCAAUGCGAUUGAGUCGGGUAUUCCGAUGUCCUGGUCAUUGUGUGCACUAUGA